rnacentral:rRNA from 1 species
CGAAGGGUGCAAGCGUUGCUCGGAAUUAUUGGGCGUAAAGGGUAGGUAGGUGGUUACGUAUGUCUGGGGUGAAAUCCCUGAGCUCAACUCAGGAAGUGCCUUGGAAACGGCGUAACUAGAGUGCUAGAGAGGUUCGUGGAAUUCCCAGUGUAGCGGUGAAAUGCGUAGAGAUUGGGAGGAACACCAGAGGCGAAGGCGGCGAACUGGAUAGCAACUGACACUGAACUACGAAAGCGUGGGUAGCAAACAGGAUUAGAUACCCUGGUAGUCCACGCUGUAAACGAUGGGUACUAGGCUUCGUGGGAGUUGACCCCUGCGGAGCCGGAGCUAACGCAAUAAGUACCCCGCCUGGGAAGUACGGUCGCAAGACUA